CGGGUGACAGGGAGACAGGUGGUGCAUGGUUGUCGUCAGCUCGUGUCGUGAGAUGUGGGUUAAGUCCCGCAACGAGCGCAACCCCUACGUUUAGUUGCUAACGCGUGAAGGCGAGCACUCUAGACGAACUGCCGUUGACAAAACGGAGGAAGGUGGGGAUGACGUCAAAUCAUCAUGCCCCUUAUGUUCUGGGCUACACACGUGCUACAAUGGCCGGUACAGACGGACGCAAAGCCGCGAGGUGGAGCAAAUCCUAAAAAGCCGGUCUCAGUUCGGAUUGCAGGCUGCAAUUCGCCUGCAUGAAGUCGGAAUCGCUAGUAAUCGCAGGUCAGCAUACUGCGGUGAAUACGUUCCCGGGCCUU
rnacentral:rRNA from 1 species